CAUCCCUUUGUCACUCCGAUUCGUC
rnacentral:rRNA from 2 species